rnacentral:SRP_RNA from 4 species
GUUAGGUUUCCGUGCAUCCACUCUUCCUAACCCCGCCAGGUCCGAAAGGAAGCAACGGUAAGAAGGGGGGAGUGCACGGUUAUUUCUAUGUCC